AACGCGAAGAACCUUACCUGGGCUUGAACCGCUACUGACCAACGGUGGAAACAUCGUCUUCUCGCAAGAGACAGUAGUAGAGGUGCUGCAUGGCUGUCGUCAGCUCGUGCCGUGAGGUGUUGGGUUAAGUCCCGCAACGAGCGCAACCCUUACUCUUAGUUGCCACCCGCAAGGGGGAACUCUAAGAGGACUGCUCCGGAUAACGGAGAGGAAGGUGGGGAUGACGUCAAGUCAGCACGGCCUUUAUGUCCAGGGCUACACACGUGUUACAAUGCACGGUACAGACUGUUGCGAACCCGCGAGGGGGAGCCAAUCGGAAAAACCGUGCUCAGUUCGGAUUGCAGUCUGCAACUCGACUGCAUGAAGCUGGAAUCGCUAGUAAUGCCGUAUCAGAACGACGGCGUGAAUACGUUCCCGGGCCUUGUACACACCGGCUAC
rnacentral:rRNA from 1 species